rnacentral:rRNA from 1 species
UACAGAGGUCUCAACCGUUGUUCGGAUUCAUUGGGCGUAAAGGGUGCGUAGGCGGUCGCGCAAGUCGGAUGUGAAAUCUUAGGGCUCAACCCUGAAACUGCAUUCGAUACUGCGUGGCUCGAGUACUGGAGAGGAGACUGGAAUUUACGGUGUAGCGGUGAAAUGCGUAGAUAUCGGGAGGAACAUCGAUGGCGAAGGCAAUCACCUGGGCCUGAACUGACACUGUGACACGAAAGCGUGGGUAGCAAACAGG